rnacentral:rRNA from 1 species
ACCCUGCAAUCAAAUAGAUUGUCCCAAGGGCGCCAUAUUCUAGGAGCCCAAGUUAUGCUAUUGAAAAUCCGUUCCUCUAGCAGUUCCGUUUGAGCAUUCCGUUCCCUUUUUCAAACUCCACUUCUUUUCAUAUAGCAAUCCCUGAUCAAAGAGAGAAAAAUAUCCAUUUCAAACCAUUUCUAACAGAUUCCUUAGUUCGGACCGACAAAGUAA